GGAUGCGCGGGAGGCCGCGAUGGGCCGUCCAAACCCCUGCCGCCGGGACGGUCCUGAGCCACUGGCGAGACGGGCCCGCGGGCAC
rnacentral:ncRNA from 1 species